rnacentral:rRNA from 1 species
GCCGGGGCUUCUUCUGCGGGUACCGUCAUUAUCUUCCCCGCUGAAAGAGCUUUACAACCCUAGGGCCUUCUUCACUCACGCGGCAUGGCUGGAUCAGGGUUGCCCCCAUUGUCCAAUAUUCUCC